UACGUAGGGUCCGAGCGUUGUCCGGAAUUAUUGGGCGUAAAGGGCUCGUAGGCGGUUCGUCACGUCGGGAGUGAAAACUCGGAGCUUAACUCCGAGCCUGCUUCCGAUACGGGCAGACUAGAGGUAGGCAGGGGAGAGCGGAACUCCUGGUGUAGCGGUGGAAUGCGCAGAUAUCAGGAGGAACACCAGCGGCGAAGGCGGCGCUCUGGGCCGGUACUGACACUGAGGAGCGAAAGCGUGGGUAGCAAACAGG
rnacentral:rRNA from 1 species